GUAUGCAAUAGACCCGAAACCGAGUGACCUAUCCAUGUCCAGGCUGAAGUGGAGGUAAAACUCCAUGGAGGGCCGAACACACGUCCGUUGAAAAGGCCGGUGAUGAGGUGUGGAUAGCGGAGAAAUUCCAAUCGAACUCGGAUAUAGCUGGUUCUCUCCGAAAUAGCUUUAGGGCUAGCCUCGUGAAAGAUUACUGGAGGUAAAGCACUGAAUGGGCUAGGGGUCGAAAGAUUACUGAACCCUAUCAAACUAAGAAUGCCAGAUAAUUGAUUCACGGGAGUCAGACAAUGUGAGAUAAGUCUCAUUGUCAAAAGGGAAACAGCCCAGACCCACAGCUAAGGUCCCUAAACAUUGUUAAGUGGAAAAGGAUGUGGGGUUGCAUAAACAACCAGGAUGUUGGCUUAGAAGCAGCCACUCAUUAAAAGAGUGCGUAAUAGCUCACUGGUCGAGUGACCCUGCGCCGAAAAUUCAACGGGGCUAAACAAUGUACCGAAGCUUGGGAUUCUAAAGUAAUUUAGAGUGGUAGGAGAGCGUCGAAUAAGGGGUGAAGUCAGAGCGGAAGCGCUGGUGGACUUUAUUCGAGUGAGAAUGCCGGAAUGAGUAGCGAGAAUUAUGUGAGAAUCAUAAUGGCCGAAAAUCUAAGGUUUCCUGAGGAAGGUUCGUCCGCUCAGGGUAAGCCGGGGGCUAAGGCGAGGCGGAGACGCGUAGCCGAUGCACAUACGGUUGAAAUUCCGUAGCCACCGAAAGAUUUAAGUACAGGGACGCUUUAGAAGUGAUGUUGCCGGGCGAUGGUUGACCCGGUCGUAAGGGAUCGAAAAUGAGUAGAGAAGUCAUCAUGGAAAGAGACAAGAAAAGCUGUAUGAAUAUCUUAGGUGCCCGUACCGCAAACCGACACAGGUAGAUAGGAAGAAGAUUCUAAGGCCAACGGGAGAAGGGUUGUUAAGGAACUCGGCAAGUUGACCCCGUAACUUAGGGAUAAGGGGUGCUCAAGUGAUUGAGCCGCAGAGAAUAGGCCCAGGCGACUGUUUAGCAAAAACACAGGUCUCUGCUAAAUCGAAAGAUGACGUAUAGGGGCUGACACCUGCCCGGUGCCGGAAGGUUAAGAGGAGAUGUGAGAGCAUUGAAUUGAAGCCCCGGUAAACGGCGGCCGUAACUAUAACGGUCCUAAGGUAGCGAAAUUCCUUGUCAGGUAAGUUCUGACCCGCACGAAAGGUGUAACGAUCUGGGCACUGUCUCAACAACCCGCCCGGCGAAAUUGUAGUACCGGUGAAGAUGCCGGUUACCCGCGACUAGACGGAAAGACCCCAUGGAGCUUUACUGUAGCCUAAUAUUGGAUUUCGGUAUUUCACGUACAGGAUAGGUGGGAGACUGGGAAGCACAGGCGUCAGCUUGUGUGGAGUCGACCUUGGGAUACCACUCUUGGAGUGCUGGAAUUCUAACCUGCGGCUUUGAAGCAAGUCGGGGGACAUUGUUAGGUGGGCAGUUUGACUGGGGCGGUCGCCUCCUAAAGAGUAACGGAGGCGCUCAAAGGUUCGCUCUGCAUGGAUGGAAACCAUGCGUCAGAGUGUAAACGCAAAAGCGAGCCUAACUGCGAGAAUGACGGUUCGAGCAGUAACGAAAGUUGGAGUUAGUGAUCCGGCGGUAUGUGAAUGGAAAUGCCGUCGCUCAACGGAUAAAAGCUACCCUGGGGAUAACAGGCUGAUCUCCCCCAAGAGUCCACAUCGACGGGGAGGUUUGGCACCUCGAUGUCGGCUCAUCGCAUCCUGGGGCUGAAUUCGGUCCCAAGGGUUUGGCUGUUCGCCAAUUAAAGCGGUACGCGAGCUGGGUUCAGAACGUCGUGAGACAGUUCGGUCCCUAUCUGUCGUGGGCGUAGGAUAUUUGCAAGGAGCUGUCCCUAGUACGAGAGGACCGGGAUGGACGCACCUCUGGUGCACCAGUUGUCACGCCAGUGGCACAGCUGGGCAGCUAUGUGCGGAACGGAUAAACGCUGAAGGCAUCUAAGCGUGAAGCCGCCCUUAAGAUAAGAUAUCCCUUCUGUUUACAGAGUAAGACCCCUUGAAGACUACAAGGUUGAUAGGCUCAAAGUGUAAGCACGGUGACGUGUUUAGCUAGCGAGUACUAAUCGGUCGAGGGCUUAACCU
rnacentral:rRNA from 1 species